rnacentral:rRNA from 1 species
GGAAUUUUCCGCAAUGGGCGAAAGGCUGACGCAGCGACGCCGUGUGUGGGACGAAGCCUUUCGGGGUGUAAACCACUGUCAGGGGGGAAGAACAUGCAUGGUUCGCAUAGGGCCGUGCAUUGACGGUACCCCCAACGGAAGCGCCGGCUAACUCCGUCCCAGCCGCCGCGGUAAGACGGAGGGCGCGAGCGUUGUUCGGAAUUACUGGGCGUAAAGCGCGAGCAGGCGGUCCGUUAAGUCCCCUGUGAAAUCCCGGAGCUCAACUCCGGAGUUGCAGGGGAUACUGGCGGACUGGAGACCGGUAGAGGCAAGCGGAAUUCCUGGUGUAGCGGUGGAAUGCGUAGAUAUCAGGAAGAACACCUGUGGCGAAGGCGGCUUGCUGGGCCGGUUCUGACGCUGAACCGCGAAAGCGUGGGGAGCAAAC